GAGUCUGUUUCUGCCACAGGGGUAGACAGUGCGGGCUACUUCAUAGGUUUUGGUGAGGAGUAAAUGAGAUGAUAUAGAUAAAGGGCCUGGCGCAUCAUGUGUGUUCAAUACAUGGUAGCAAGAGAAUAAGCAUUAAGUACAACGGAAACAUUAAUUUCAGCCAUCAGCACUGAUUUGCAAUGAUUUGUGCCUCUUGUGUUCUUGCUUUCAGCCCCUGCUUUAGGCCCAGAAAGAAAAGAAAUUCACAGGAGACAACAAGUCUCAGGCUCUUUCUUGGAUAUAAGCGAGAGGUCCCUGGAUCUACGAGCCUUGGAAAACCACAAGAUCUACCUGAGCCUUAGUUUCUUCAACUUUAACAUGGAGGGGACAACACCUACCUUACAGGGCUUUCAUGAAGGAAACUUGGUGGUACCAAAGAAGGACAUUACUUCGGAAAAUAAGUUAAAGAAAAGAAAAGAAAGAAAAAAGGAUGAAAAUGAAAAAUUCACUGAUUUUUUUCCCGAGGAAGAAAUACCUGAUUUCUGAAAACAGCCUAUAUCCUGAACAGUUUCCUGGAAAUGACACCACUGGUUAACUUUUGGAAAGCAUUCCAAGUGUUAAACAGCAAGUUCUGAUACUUCCAAGUGCCCAAAGAGGAAACCUGGCAACAGGGGUUCCUGAGGGUCUCAUCUGGUGCUAGAGAUGAUCGGCUCGCCCAGUCAGGGAGGAAGGAAUCUUCUUGACCACCGCACCCAGACAAACCUCUGUGAAGAGACAGAUCCCGAGAUGCAUCCUGUUCUCACGCACAAUGAUGGUGCCUAUUGGAAAUGGUGAGACUAUAUUUUCUAGACUUGCUGUGUUUGCUGAAAACCUGAAGAGGCCAGGAAAUUGCUUCAUGUGCAUCAAGUGCCUGAAGUGAUGAUACUAUGUGCUGCUGAUCAAAGAGGUGUCACAUGCCCUGGGGACACGGUGGCCAGAGAGGACACAGAUAUUUUUUUCCGGGGCUGGGGAUAGACUGGAGAAGACAGAGAAAAUGCUCUCAAUUCCCUCCAGGGAGAGUGGACACUAAACAAUAAUAAAUGAAGCUGUGAGAACCCAGGAAUGGGGCGGCUUGGGCAGAUCUGCGCAUAAUAGACGGUGGUCAGGGUGACGGACCCCCUUUCCCUUCGAGAAUGGACCCAUCACGUUCAGCUACGGCACUGAGACCCCCCAGGCAUCUGGCUUCCUUUGGAAUGGCGUCAGGUCCAUUCUGGAAGGGCUGACAGAGCGUUCAGCAGGCUCACAGCUGCUUCGGCACCACGCCCCUGUCACCUGCUCGAGUUGUAGUCCCCACACUUGACCUGUUUCCCUGUGGCGAGGCCAACGCAGAGGGGCAGGAAGCCUGGCGGUACCCCCGGCUAUGACUCCCCAGCCUGUCAUGACUGGUCAUCUCUGACAUCAUUUUCAAGUGAUACUUAUCAGUGAAGUGGUCACAUGAGGUCGCAAGGCUAGAAACGCCCUCAGAAGUCCUCCUGCCCUGCAUUCCCUUUAUGUAUCUGGCAUUACCCAGAACAAAAAUGUGGGAUGCCCCCACCCCGAGUUCAAGCAUGUAGCUGCUGAAGCAGAUAUUCACCUAGUUCCAGUAGAGAAUCCAGUUCUCUUUUCCCGAACACUUGAAGUUGGGGGGCAGUUAGAACCACUGUAAUUAUAUCCCUGGGCUGUUAGAUUGCCUCUGGGGUCCUGUGUCAGGAAUGGGACCCCAGAAAUGUGAUGAGUGUUCACCUUAGGAGGGCAAGCUGGCCUGGAAAUACCCAAACUACCAUUUCAAAACCCUAGUUUGCUUCUCCUGGAUCUGGAACCAAACCAACCACAAAAUAUCAAAAUUGGAAGACACUCCAGUGAUUAAUACCCCUCUUCUUAUAGACGGGGGAAAGGGGGGAAGUGCGCUGACCAAGGUUAGUAUUCACAAUACAGAGAAAGUCUCUUUGGGAUCCACAUGGGUCUUUCUCAGAUGUUUACAGCAUUUUGUUGUAACGUGUGCCGCCUUGACUUAUGGAGCAAGGAAAAAAAAAACACGUAUCACCGAUGUGUAUAAAGUUCUUUGUUCCUCUGUCUGGUUUGAAUCACCAUCCUAUGUAAUGGGCAUUCAUUUUUCUCAUUUAAAAUGAGAAAAUUUUAUUUUCUCUCAUCCAGACAAGGAAAGUGAAGGAAAUGAAUCCAUUUAGUAAGUGGCAAAACCAGACUCAAGCUUAGGCCUUCCCAUUUUUAUUUGAUAGCAUUCCCAAGUCCAUCUCCACUUUUGUCCUCUGGGGUUUUGGGACAAAGCAGAAAUUAGCCGUAACUUAGGCAGAGCGGGGUCCAAGCAGGUGUCCUCGGGUGCUAGAACCUCUAAGGAGAGGAUUCUGAUUUUUAGCGAACCGCUCUCACCUCUUAGAGCCCCUGUAUCUGAGGCAGGGUACCCAUGGAUCCUAACAUAACUCGAUGCUGUCAGCUUCUUACUUUAAAUGCCACCUCUGGGACGCAAGGGCACAUAAAAGCCCAGGCUGUUAGGACCCCCUGGCUCUGUCCAAACCCUGGUUCCAGCACUCACUCUGGGUGACCUGAGACAUCUAUCACUUAACCUUGCGCUGUCUCAAUGUUCCUAUCUGUAAAAUGGGGCCAGCUCUAGUACCUUCCUGGGAAGAUGGUUGCAGACUAGAAGAGGUAAAGCAUUUAGAAGAGGAAACACUCAGUAAAUGUCAGUGGCUGCUUUGUUUGCUCUCCACACAACGGAAGGAAUUCUGUCACAGGUCUGAGUUUUCUCCAGCUGUACGAAAAGAAGAUGUUCACAGUUCCUGAAGACUGGUAGGCGUCCCAGGGUGAGAAGUAUAUAAAGAUACACUCACGUACAGCUCACAGCUUGACUCCGGAGAGUGAUCUCUUGCAGAGCCUCUACUACAAGGGUAUCUUCUUCUGUCACUGUCUCCCCUCCAACAGCAAAAGGCUUUGGCUCACCCACCUGAGAAGCUAAAGCUUGCCUGGAAGUUAUGCCUCCAGGAAAAAGAGAAGUCAGAGCCUCUCAUGUAACUUGAAGAGUACAAAAGAUCCAAUGAUAAAAACCACUGCCCUGAACUUUUCCAAAGCACAAUAAAUCCCUGCCUAUGAUUCUCCAGUCCUUGGCAAGGUAACCUUUGUCUGGUUUUUGUAGACUAGGAAAAAAGUUAAUGAACCCACUCCCAUUAGGUUGUGUAUUUGUGCUGAAAGGCUAUGCAAAAGGCUAUUAUUUCAACUGAGUCCUGUCAUCUAAAAUACGCCCCAUGUUUGUUUUAUAGUUCCUCAGCGAUACUCUGACUUUAAUUUGAUCACUUCCGUGAAUUUGUGUAGUCCCUCAAGCAAAACUGAUUCUCCCUCUCCCCUCUCUCUCUCUCUCUCUCUUUUUUUUUUUUUGCCUCUACUUUUUUGUUCAGAUCAUCUCUCUCCUGACCUUUCAGUGGCUCAGCACUUUUUUUUCUUCUUCUUUAUUUGCAGUGCACAAGCGAGGCUGGAAAACAGAGCCAAGACACAAACUGUGAAGCAACAGUUCACCCUCACAGAGCGAGUGGGCUUUGUGCUAUUUCUGGCUAGAGCAGAUGUGGCCUCGGUGGGCUGUAGGGAACAAUAUCCCUCAGGUAAAAAUAAAUGAUUAAGAUUAGGACCAAAAUGAUGCAAAUCCUUCAUUCCCAAACAGAUCAUGAACUGGGAGCUGUGUGGAAAGACGACCGGAUUGGUAAUCGUCAGGGUCCUGCCCUGGAUUUAUUCCAGAUCACUCUACCAAUCAGCCAUCUGGUCUCGGGUGCCGUGGGAACCUAGAGGGGCAACAUGUCAUCCAACCUGGAGGUGAAGGAGUGCUGCCUGGAGGAGUGGAUUCAUCCCGAGCUGAGUCUUAAAGGCGGUGCAGAGGUUAUCCCGAAUUUACAGUGUCCAAGUGGAACGCGCAUAGCUUUCACCUGAUGUGGGCCCAAUUGUGACCAAAUGCAUAGUGGAUACAGGGCAGUUAUGAGAAUCAUUGCUAAAUGAUCGUUAAAUUGUUUUCCUGGUGAAAAGUGACUUAAAGUAUUGACAGAAGGUUUGCAAUUUUGAUGGAGCAUGGUGGGGACAUUGUGUCCUUCUCCUUGGCAUCAGGUGGGGUGAAGAAAUAGAAUUGGAAGACUGAAGAGUAGAAUUACCUGAAGGGGCACUCAUGUGUUGGCAGUAGAUGCUGGCUGUGGGCUGCGACCGCCAGGGGGCUGUGGUUGCAGUACCUCCAUGUGGCCCGGCCGCAUGGCUGCUUGUCUCCCAAAGUUCUUAAGGUAGUCACAAAGCAUCAUCCAAGUCCAAGAAGAAAAUUAGACUCUACCUCUCUUGGUUGGCAAGUUCUGCAAGAAUGUAGGAACUGGAAUAUCAAUGUGGCCAGUUUUGGAACCGACAACCUGCUCCAAGAAAUUCUCUCUGUUUCGAUGUUACGUGCACCCCACAUCUGCAGAGAAAACAUGGAAAGUUAGCCAGAUUGUCUCAGUUGCCCCGUUGAAUGUGCUACAGACACAUGAAAAUGCUGGAUAAAAUCCAAUGAAACUAUUUUACAUAUGGGGAAGGAAGAAAGCGAGAGAGAGACAAAGACUGAGAAGCAGAGAGACAAAACUCUUAUGCGCCCAAAAUAAAGAAGAACCUCAUAAUCGAUGUGAGAUUCAUGCUAAAUGGGACCAGAAGAUGAUCCCCAAAGAACAAGGCAAAGGAGUUAGCACAAGCAUCUCUGACCUCAGAGUUCCUCCUCGAGUAUCUGUAUGUAUUAGCAUCAGAGGACACAUUGUUUGGCCUCGGACCUCCAGAAUCCUGUGCGUGUGUUUGAGGAGAAGAAUAAACAGCCCACAUUUGAGAGCAUGUGCCCACCAAUUCCAUGUAAACAGUAUAUAUUCUUUAAAAAUUGAACAAGUGCAAAGAA